UAGCAUCUCUGAGGACUGGAAGUUGAACUCCCAGUGAGACAAGGUCUGGAGAGAGAGAGAGAAACCACUGCAAGAACAGAAGCCAGCACAAGAAGAGAUGAAUAGCCAACAGGCAAGUGAAAUUAGCCCUCUCUUCUCCCCCACUGCGAACUUCACUGCAAACAUAACUCAAGCCCCCCCAGCCUCUCGGCCAAAGACACUAAAGCUGUUUUAAAAGGCAGAAAGAGGAGUCUAGAUUUGAAGUGACUUUCUUGCUUUGACCCGACGUUCAAGCAGCG
rnacentral:lncRNA from 1 species